rnacentral:tRNA from 1 species
GCUGCGGUGGUGGAAUUGGUAGACACGCCAUCUUGAGGGGGUGGUGCCUUAGGGUGUGAGAGUUCGAAUCUCUUUCGCAGCA